GGAUUAGUAGGUUGGUCAUGCCUCUGGUAUGUACUGGUCUCACUGAUUCCUCCUUCCUGAUGAACCGUAAUGCCAUUAAUUUGGUGUUGCGGGGAAUUUGGACUGUUACUUUGAAAAAAUUAGAGUGUUUAAAGCAAGCUAACGCUUGAAUACAUUAGCAUGGAAUAAUGAAAUAGGACGUUCGAUCCUAUUUUGUUGGUUUCUAGGAUUGACGUAAUGAUUAAUAGGGAUAGUUGGG
rnacentral:rRNA from 1 species